AGAGUUUGAUCCUGGCUCAGGACGAACGCUGGCGGCGUGCCUAACACAUGCAAGUCAAAGGAAAGCAACUUCGGUUGUAAGUACUUGGCGCAAGGGUGAGUAAUGUAUAGGUAAUCUGCCCUUAGGACUGGCAUAACCUCGAGAAAUCGAGGACAAUACCAGAUGAUGCAGCGGGACCGCAUGGUCAUGUUGUUAAAGAUUUAUCGCCUAAGGAUGAACCUAUAUCCCAUCAGGUAGUUGGCAGGAUAAUAGCCUACCAAGCCUACGACGGGUAGCUGGUCUGAGAGGAUGAUCAGCCACAUUGGAACUGAGACACGGUCCAGACUCCUACGGGAGGCAGCAGUGAGGAAUAUUGCGCAAUGGGCGAAAGCCUGACGCAGCAACGCCGCGUGGAUGAUGAAGUUCUUCGGAAUGUAAAGUCCUUUUGUAGAGGAAGAACAUGUCGGUUUACCGGCACUGACGGUACUCUGCGAAUAAGCCACGGCUAACUCUGUGCCAGCAGCCGCGGUAAUACGGAGGGGGUUAGCGUUGUUCGGAAUUACUGGGCGUAAAGCGCACGUAGGCGGAUUAGUAAGUUAGAGGUGAAAUCCCAGGGCUCAACCCUGGAACUGCCUUUAAUACUGCUAUUCUAGAGAUCGAGAGAGGUGAGUGGAAUUCCAAGUGUAGAGGUGAAAUUCGUAGAUAUUUGGAGGAACACCAGUGGCGAAGGCGGCUACCUGGCUCACAACUGACGCUAAUGCGCGAAAGCGCGGGGAGCAAACAGGAUUAGAUACCCUGGUAGUCCGCGCUGUAAACGAUGGAUACUAGAUGUUGGUUCUUUUGAUAGAAUCAGUGUCGCAGCUAACGCAUUAAGUAUCCCGCCUGGGGAGUACGAUCGCAAGGUUGAAACUCAAAGGAAUUGACGGGGGCCCGCACAAGCGGUGGAGCAUGUGGUUUAAUUCGAUGCAACGCGAAGAACCUUACCGGGGUUUGACAUCACAGUGAAAUGUGCAGAGAUGUAUAUGUCCUUCGGGACACUAUGACAGGUGCUGCAUGGCUGUCGUCAGCUCGUGUCGUGAGAUGUUGGGUUAAGUCCCGCAACGAGCGCAACCCUUGCCCAUAGUUGCCAGCACGUAAAGGUGGGGACUCUAUGGGGACUGCCGGUGAUAAACUGGAGGAAGGUGGGGAUGACGUCAAGUCAUCAUGCCCCUUAUGUCCAGGGCUGCACGCAUGCUACAAUGGCAAGUACAACGAGUCGCAAUACCGCGAGGUGGAGCAAAUCUCUUAAAGCUUGUCUCAGUUCGGAUAGGAGUCUGCAACUCGACUCCUUGAAGUUGGAGUCGCUAGUAAUCGCAAAUCAGCAAAGUUGCGGUGAAUACGUUCUCGGGGUUUGUACACACCGCCCGUCAAGUCACGGAAGUCGGCAAUACGCGAAGCCAGUGGUCUAACCCUUUGGGGAAGAAGCUGUCGAACGUAGGGUUGGUAACUGGGACUAAGUCGUAACAAGGUAACC
rnacentral:rRNA from 1 species